rnacentral:tRNA from 1 species
GGGCGGUUAGCUCAGUGGUAGAGCACCUGGUUUACACCCAGGGUGUCGGGAGUUCGACCCUCUCACCGCCCACCA